GACGAACGCUGGCGGCGUGCUUAACACAUGCAAGUCGAACGGAAAGGCCCUGCUUUUGUGGGGUGCUCGAGUGGCGAACGGGUGAGUAACACGUGAGUAACCUGCCCUUGACUUUGGGAUAACUUCAGGAAACUGGGGCUAAUACCGGAUAGGAGCUCCUGUUGCAUGGUGGGGGUUGGAAAGUUUCGGCGGUUGGGGAUGGACUCGCGGCUUAUCAGCUUGUUGGUGGGGUAGUGGCUUACCAAGGCUUUGACGGGUAGCCGGCCUGAGAGGGUGACCGGCCACAUUGGGACUGAGAUACGGCCCAGACUCCUACGGGAGGCAGCAGUGGGGAAUAUUGCACAAUGGGCGGAAGCCUGAUGCAGCAACGCCGCGUGCGGGAUGACGGCCUUCGGGUUGUAACCCGCUUUCGCCUGUGACGAAGCGUGAGUGACGGUAAUGGGUAAAGAAGCACCGGCUAACUACGUG
rnacentral:rRNA from 1 species